rnacentral:lncRNA from 1 species
UUACAGGAUAAGGCCAAGUAGGAACUGCAUGUCUUCAGGAGGGCAGCAGGGCCUGCUCUCUAGAUAAAUAAAUUAAUAAUUUCAGGUGAGAGUUGUCAAACCAGAACUUAUGAGCAGCGUGGAAUUCAGACAGGCCUUGUACCUGGUAUGGAUAUUAAAUACAAUGAGGAGAGACAGUGCCAAGAAGCACAGAGAUGCUCGCAAGGCCUUAUGCUGUGAGGCAGUGGCGAGAACUGGGCAGUGGGGAGCUGUUUCCAAGCCCGAUUGUGUCCGGACCCCAGCUGCGGGGAGGAAGGAAAAGAGAUGAGCGCGGAUGGCAGAGCUGGCGGGCUCUGGGGACAUUGGACCUGGACUCUGGUUGAAGACUCUGCCAUAACCGGGAUGCAGCCAACCAUGGGACUGGUAGUGGCAAAGAGAAAAGGGAUGCAGUGUGGAGGCAGCAGCUAACGUAUGUGUAAAUAUAUCCUUUUCGUCUUUCUUUUAAAGUCAGGUGUCUGAUGUUGCCCUUUCCCUGUGUAGCAGUGACCUAUUACCAGCACACUCCAUGUGCCAAGGGUGCCUCCUGGGGCCCCAGCACCCAGCUGCUUGGCAUUGAGACGCAUGCUUCAGUGGGCAUGGUGAUGAAGGUUUAAUGGUUGGACUAGAUGACCUUAGUGGUUUUCCAGCCUUCACCAUUCUGUGACACUGAGAACCUGUUCCCACCCCUUCGUGCUGCUACUCAUCAAUCCACAUGUCCCAGGUAAGCGUCUGUGAAGUUUAGAACUCUUUAGAAAAUAUGAGAGGAAGCUACUAAGUUUUUUUUGGAAAAAAAAAAAACAGGAUUUGUUUGAUUUGAUUUUUUGGAAAAAAAGACAGGACUGUGUCUGAGGCUUGUAUUUAAGAGGUGGGCUCAUUUGUCAAAAAAGGGAGGCAAUUCCUAGUGAAAAGUGCUCACUGCAGUGUGUCAGGAGCUGGAGACUGAAAACUAUUAAUGCAAGUAUGUGGCCUGGAGGAACAAAUAUAUUGGUUGACCUCCUAAUGGAUGAUUUUAAAUCUAAAAAAAGUGAGUUUAUAUUGCUUACAUUGCUCCAUCUGAGUUAUUUGCCUGACUUUGAUGAGAAUUCUUCUUCCUUCUCUGUCACUGUAGUGAGAAAUCACAGGAAAUUUCUUCAUCAGGGAUAGGAAGAGGCUUUAUGCUCCAAGUUUUAAUAUCUGCACUUAUGAAAUAUGUUACAACUUGGGUGCUCCUCCUGAGAAGCCCUAGAAAGGAGCAGAAGUGGUUUCAAAUGCAGAAGGAGAGUUAAAUCGACAGUGUUAAAAAAGUAAUCUGUGUAAACUGUUUUACAACUGAAGAGUUAUGCAAAGCCGUAUCUUACCUUGGCAUCCUGCCCCAAACUGUGCAUCCAUAAAGCACCACAGCCCUGCCUUGACACAUUUUAUAGUAUAUUUCAGCUUUGAGGAAAAUAAACUAGUUGUUAAAAUACUUCUGUAAGUCCCG